GAUGAACGCUGGCGGCGUGCCUAACACAUGCAAGUCGAACGGGAUGCGUAUCGGAAAGCUUCGGCCGGAAGAUGCGUUAUCUAGUGGCGGACGGGUGAGUAACACGUGGGUAACCUGCCUUAUGGAGGGGGAUAACAGAGAGAAAUCACUGCUAAUACCGCAUAAGCACACAGUACCGCAUGGUACAGGGUGAAAAGAUUUAUCACCAUAAGAUGGACCCGCGUCUGAUUAGCCAGUUGGCAGGGUAAAAGCCUACCAAAGCAACGAUCAGUAGCCGAUCUGAGAGGAUGACCGGCCACAUUGGGACUGAGACACGGCCCAAACUCCUACGGGAGGCAGCAGUGGGGAAUAUUGCACAAUGGGGGAAACCCUGAUGCAGCGACGCCGCGUGAGUGAAGAAGUAUUUCGGUAUGUAAAGCUCUNUCAGCAGGGAAGAUAA
rnacentral:rRNA from 1 species